rnacentral:rRNA from 1 species
UACGUAGGCAGCAAGCGUUGUUCGGAAUUACUGGGCGUAAAGAGUGUGUAGGUGGUGUCGUAAGUUUGGUGUGAAAUCUCCCGGCUUAACUGGGAGGGUGCGCCGAAGACUGCGAUGCUGGAGUAUGGGAGAGGAAAGCGGAAUUCCUGGUGUAGCGGUGAAAUGCGUAGAUAUCUGCAGGAACACCCGUGGCGAAAGAGGCGCGCUGGACCACUACUGACGCUGAGGAACGAAAGCUAGGGGAGCAAACAGG